AAUCAACGCUGGCGGCAUGCCUAACACAUGCAAGUCGAACGGGAAAGUGGGAGCAAUCCCAUGAGUAUAGUGGCGCACGGGUGAGUAACACGUGACUAACCUACCCUCGAGUGGGGAAUAACCCCGGGAAACCGGGGCUAACACCGCAUAAUACCGCAAGGUCAAAUGCGCAAGCAGCUUGAGGAGGGGGUCGCGGUUGAUUAGCUAGUUCCGGUAGGGUAAUGGCCUACCAAGGCAGNGAUCAAUAGCCGGCCUGAGAGGGCGCACGGCCACACUGGAACUGAAACACGGUCCAGACUCCUACGGGAGGCAGCAGUGGGGAAUUUUGCGCAAUGGGGGAAACCCUGACGCAGCAAUGCCGCGUGGAGGAUGAAGUCCUUUGGGAUGUAAACUCCUUUCGAUCGGGAAGAUAAUGACGGUACCGGAAGAAGAAGCCCCGGCUAACUCUGUGCCAGCAGCCGCCGC
rnacentral:rRNA from 1 species